rnacentral:ribozyme from 15 species
AGGAAACGUUGUUGUAACAUUAUCGUCAUUUUAUUUUUUUUUUAUUUUUUUUUUUUUUUUUUUUUUUUUUUUUUUUUUUUUUU